rnacentral:rRNA from 1 species
AGUGGCGGAUGGGUGAGUAACACGUAAGCGACCUGCCCUUGAGUGGGGGAUAACCCCGAGAAAUCGGAGCUAAUACCGCAUAAAGUGUUCAGGGUAAGGCCUGGACACCAAAGCCUUCGGGUGCUUGAGGAGGGGCUUGUGGCCUAUCAGGUAGUUGGUGCGGGUAACGGCCCACCAAGCCGGUGACGGGUAGCUGGUUUGAGAGGAUGACCAGCCACAUUGGGACUGAGACACAGCCCAGACUCCUACGGGAGGCAGCAGCAGGGAAUAUUGCGCAAUGGGCGAAAGCCUGACGCAGCAACGCCGCGUGGGUGAAGAAGGCCUUCGGGUUGUAAAACCCUUUUCUUGGGGAAGAAGUACUGACGGUACCCAGGGAAUAAGCCUCGGCUAAUCACGUGCCAGCAGCCGCGGUGAUACGUGAGAGGCGAGCGUUAUCCGGAUUUACUGGGCGUAAAGGGCGUGUAGGCGGUUGGGCAAGUCCUUUGUGAAAUCUCCCGGCUUAACCGGGAGGGGUCAAAGGAAACUACCCAACUUGAGGGUAGCAGGGGGAGAUGGAAUUCUCGGUGGAGCGGUGAAAUGCGUAGAUAUCGAGAGGAACACCAGUGGCGAAGGCGAUCUCCUGGGCUAUACCUGACGCUGAGGCGCGAAAGCGUGGGGAGCAAACAGGAUUAGAUGCCCUGGUAGUCCACGCCGCAACCGAUGGACACUAGGUAUGGGGGGUAUCGACCCUCUCCGUGCCGAANCUAACGCGUUAAGUGUCCCGCCUGGGGGAUUACGGCCGCAAGGCUAAAACUCAAAG